GGAGGUUUGCAGUGAGCCGAGAUGGCACUGCUGCACCCCAGCCAAGGCCACAGAGCCAGACCCUGUCUCAAACCACCACCACCACCAGCACCACCACCACCACAACCACAACAACACCCUCAGGCUUCUUUAAGAACAGUGUCUAAGGCUAAUUCUUGGCCCAAAUUUUCAAAGAGUAGGUUCAAAUGCCAAUUAUAGUAGACCAUAGGGAAUCAUUAGUGGUUCAUUUAGCUGCUCCAGACUGCCUCAAAACAUAUUAUUAGUCCUUCUCUCAUCCAAGGACAUUCAGGAAUAACAGUCUAGAUCAGCAUAUGGAAGUGUGCUUUCAAAAAAAAAAAGGAAUAUUCAAAACGAGAAAUUACAGAAGGAAAUUGAAUCCACCAGACAAAUUCUCAGCAAGAAAUUAACAUAUGCCAUGUUUGCAAAAAGAAUAAAACAACCCACUCCCCCAAAUAUCCAUAUUUUAAAUUAAGCCUUUAUUAAAUAUUGAGAUCAGUUGAGUUCCCAUCAAUAUUACACAUGUCCUGCAUUAUUGCAAUCAUACAUAUUUCAUUAACUACAUACCCAUAGCUUUCUAAUAACAUUUCCAUUUGGACUUCCUGUCAUUUGGGUUUCUAUUAGCAUAUAGGCACUUGGAGUCUAUGAGGAAGGGAAGGAAAAACAUAAUAACCAAAAUGUGCUUUCGUUCUCCCCGUCAGCAGGAACUUCAGCUUGAGAUAUAUAAUUGAAAAGCAAUGCCUGCCUGAAAUACUGCAUUAGACAAGAAAAACUGCAGUGGCAGAUUUAGAACAGAGAAAAGAAAGCAUAACAUAUUGCUUAUCACAGAAUCCUGUUUGCAUCUGAUCUGCUCACUGCAAUAUAACACGUGCAUAAAACAGUGCAACCGUAUUUGUUUUAAUAAGGCCAUUCUGAGCAGCUGUUUAAUGAUCCAUGAUGUUAAAUGAAAACUACAGGUGUUCCAAAUGCAAACCUUAUGGCCCAGGGCCCCCCUUAUUACCGUUCUACAAUUAGCAGCCAACUGCUCUUAGGCUGUGCAAAGAAUUACCACCAUCAUCAUUACAUUAUUUCUUAAUUUCAUUCUCUGCCUAAGUGUCUUCCCCCAAAGGAAAAACCUGCUUGGCAUGGGAAAGCAUAAGAGUGAAAAAAUGAAAAGGGAAGGAGAACACAAAACACUCCCUGUCCAACCACAAGGAGGCCUCAGUGAAGGGGGAAAGAGCCAGCCAAAAGGCUCAGCCCCCUAAGGAAUCUUCCAGAGUGACUUUCUGGCCAAACUUAACAAAGUCUUGCUGAAACUAUUGGUGUUCAUAAGGAUUGCAUUAACCCUUUCUUCUUCAUGAUUCCCUAAGCUUAAUACUGUGCUAAGCCAAAUUGCCAGAAAGCUGCAUAGCUGGAUUCCAUCGCUCUGUCUUGUAGAGGGCUAAUUUUAUGCAAGUAUAAUUUUAACAUCACAACAGUUUUCACUUAAGGUACAUAUAAUAAACUGCAAAGAAGGAAGUCUUCUGUAUCACUUGUGAAAUUGCUGUCUGUAUCAUUAUCCAUUACAUACCUCAAUACCUCUUACAUAAAAAUGCCAGAGACAAAUUUAAUUAGAGCUCGGGAACAAGUUUAUCUUUCCAUGUCAAUGGGUACACUUUUUUCUGCAAAACUAGUAAUUCUCAAUUCUGGCUGCAUAUUAGAAUCACCUAAUAGUAAACACAUUUAUUUGCAUCCCAGCUCCUUCCCAGACCAUUUAAAUUCAAAUUUCUAGGAGUGGGCACUGGGCAGGACCAUCGAGUUGCAGUUCCAGGGGUCACCAUUCACAAUGUGCUUGGCCAAAUUACAGUAUUAUACUCUGCUGCCAAAAUUGAGAACCACUGCCCCAGAAAAUGAGAGUUUUAUAACUCACUGAUUUUGCUUCUUCAUUUUGGUUACUAAGAAGCUCAAAACUAAUUAUACUGAAUUGCAGUUUUCCUCUGCCAAAAUUUCUCAAUACAAUUUUCCCUCUGCAUCCCCUCAUAUUAAUGCUUUUACCAGUACUUUCAGUGUAAGCUACCAAAUAUUCUUUUUGUAGGUAAAGUAAAAUAAAACAAUAAAUAAAAUAAAGAUCUAUUGGGAGGCACAAGUAGAUCUAUAUACAAAUUUAUAUACAAAUCUCCCAUAAUCACCCCAAACGUAAGAUGGCCAAAGAUGGGCCGGGCGCAGUGGCUCAUGCCUGUAAUCCCCAGCACUUUGGAAUGCCAAGAUGGGCAGAUCAUGAGGUCAGGAGUUCGAGACCAGCCUGGUCAACAUGGUGAAACCCCUGUCUCUACUAAAAAUACCAAAAAAAAAAAAAUUACCCGGGUGUGGUGGCACAUGCCUGUAAUCUCAGAUACUUGGGAGGUUGAGGCAGGAGAAUCGCUUGAAACCAGAAGGCGGAGGUUGCAGUGAGCUGAGAUCGCACCACUGCACUCCAGCCUGGGCAAUAAGAAUGAAACUCCAUCUCCAAA
rnacentral:lncRNA from 10 species